UGUGGUCAAGUUGUUAAGGGCGCACGGUGGAUGCCUUGGCACCAGGAGCCGAUGAAGGACGUGGGAGACCGCGAUAGUCCUCGAGGAGCUGUCAACCGAGCUGUGAUUCGAGGGUGUCCGAAUGGGGAAACCCGGCAGCAGUUAUGUGCUGUCACCCGCACCUGAACACAUAGGGUGUGUGGAGGGAACGUGGGGAAGUGAAACAUCUCAGUACCCACAGGAAGAGAAAACAAGAGUGAUUCCGUGAGUAGUGGCGAGCGAAAGCGGAUGAGGCUAAACCGCGCACGUGUGAUACCCGGCAGGGGUUGCGUGAGCGGGGUCGUGGGACGGCUAUUGAUCGGUCUGCCGGCUGGUCGGGAAGUAAGAAAAUCAUUGUGUUAGUCGAAGGUUCUGGGAAGGACCGGCGUAGAGGGUGAGACUCCCGUAGACGAAAACGCAUGAUCUUCCUUUAGUUGUUCCCAAGUAGCACGGGGCUCGUGAAAUCUCGUGUGAAUCUGGCGGGACCACCCGCUAAGCCUAAAUACUCCCUGGUGACCGAUAGUGCACUAGUACCGUGAGGGAAAGGUGAAAAGUACCCCGGGAGGGGAGUGAAAUAGUACCUGAAACCGUGUGCCUACAAGCCGUCGGAGCAGACCUUCGGGGAUGUGACGGCGUGCCUUUUGAAGAAUGAGCCUGCGAGUUCGUGGUACGUGGCGAGGUUAACCCGUGUGGGGUAGCCGUAGCGAAAGCGAGUCCGAAUAGGGCGUGUGAGUCGCGUGCUCGAGACCCGAAGCGGAGUGAUCUAUCCAUGGGCAGGGUGAAGCGCCGGUAAGACGGCGUGGAGGCCCGAACCCACCAGGGUUGAAAACCUGGGGGAUGACCUGUGGAUAGGGGUGAAAGGCCAAUCAAACUCCGUGAUAGCUGGUUCUCCCCGAAAUGCAUUUAGGUGCAGCGUUGCGUGUUUCUUGCCGGAGGUAGAGCACUGGAUGGCCUAGGGGGCCCACAAGCUUACUGAAGUCAGCCAAACUCCGAAUGCCGGUAAGUGAGAGCGUGGCAGUGAGACUGCGGGGGAUAAGCUUCGUAGUCGAGAGGGAAACAGCCCAGAUCUCCAGCUAAGGCCCCUAAGCGUGUGCUAAGUGGGAAAGGAUGUGGAGUCGCAGAGACAACCAGGAGGUUGGCUUAGAAGCAGCCACCCUUUAAAGAGUGCGUAAUAGCUCACUGGUCAAGUGAUUCCGCGCCGACAAUGUAGCGGGGCUCAAGUACACCGCCGAAGCUGAGGCAUUUACACGAUGAACCUGGUUUCCGUUCCUGCGGGGCGGUUAUUGGGUGUGUGGAUGGGUAGGGGAGCGUCGUACAGCGGAGGAAGCAGCGGGGGAACCCAGUUGUGGACGCUGUGCGAGUGAGAAUGCAGGCAUGAGUAGCGAAUGACGGGUGAGAAACCCGUCCGCCGGAUGACCAAGGGUUCCUGGGCCAGGCUAAUCCGCCCAGGGUGAGUCGGGACCUAAGGCGAGGCCGACAGGCGUAGUCGAUGGACAACGGGUUGAUAUUCCCGUACCCGCGAAGAAUCGUCCCUGAUGAGGCAGCUUUGUGCUAACCACCCGAGCCGGCAGGCGUCUUCGGACAAGUGCUGGGGAGGCUGGGACCCCGGGUUGUAGUAGUCAAGCGAUGGGGUGACGCAGGAAGGUAGCUCAUCCCGGUGAAUGGUGGUGCCGGGCUAAGGGUGUAGGACGAGACAUUGGCAAAUCCGUGUCUCAUGGAGUCUGAGACCUGAUGGGGAGCCGUUGUGGCGAAGUGAGUGAUCCUAUGCUGCCGAGAAAAGCCUCUAGCGAGAUUCAAGCGGCCCGUACCCUAAACCGACACAGGUGGUCAGGUAGAGAAUACCGAGGCGAUCGAGCGAACUGUGGUUAAGGAACUCGGCAAAAUACCCCCGUAACUUCGGGAGAAGGGGGGCCGGAGGCGUGAUCCCACUUGCUGGGGGAGCGUUGUAUGGCCGCAGAGACCAGGGGAAAGCGACUGUUUACUAAAAACACAGGUCCGUGCGAAGUCGUAAGACGAUGUAUACGGACUGACGCCUGCCCGGUGCUGGAACGUUAAGGGGACCGGUUAGUCUUUCGGGGCGAAGCUGAGAACUUAAGCGCCAGUAAACGGCGGUGGUAACUAUAACCAUCCUAAGGUAGCGAAAUUCCUUGUCGGGUAAGUUCCGACCUGCACGAAUGGCGUAACGACUUUCCUACUGUCUCAACCACAGGCUCGGCGAAAUUGCACUACGAGUAAAGAUGCUCGUUACGCGCGGCAGGACGGAAAGACCCCGGGACCUUUACUAUAGCUUGGUAUUGGUGUUCGAUUCGGCUUGUGUAGGAUAGGUGGGAGACUGUGAAGCGGGCACGCCAGUGUUCGUGGAGUCAUCGUUGAAAUACCACUCUGGUCGUAUUGGAUGUCUAACCCGGGCCCCUGAUCGGGGUCGGGGACAGUGCCUGGUGGGUAGUUUAACUGGGGCGGUUGCCUCCUAAAAUGUAACGGAGGCGCCCAAAGGUUCCCUCAGCCUGGUUGGCAAUCAGGUGUUGAGUGCAAGUGCACAAGGGAGCUUGACUGUGAGACUGACAGGUCGAGCAGGAGCGAAAGCUGGGACUAGUGAUCCGGCACUGGCUGGUGGAAGCGGUGUCGCUCAACGGAUAAAAGGUACCCCGGGGAUAACAGGCUGAUCUUCCCCAAGAGUCCAUAUCGACGGGAUGGUUUGGCACCUCGAUGUCGGCUCGUCGCAUCCUGGGGCUGGAGUAGGUCCCAAGGGUUGGGCUGUUCGCCCAUUAAAGCGGUACGCGAGCUGGGUUUAGAACGUCGUGAGACAGUUCGGUCCCUAUCCGCCGUGCGCGUUGGAGUCUUGAGAAGGGCUGUCCCUAGUACGAGAGGACCGGGACGGACGAACCUCUGGUGUGCCAGUUGUCCUGCCAAGGGCAUGGCUGGUUGGCUACGUUCGGAAGGGAUAACCGCUGAAAGCAUCUAAGCGGGAAGCCUGCUUCGAGAUGAGGUCUCCCACCACCUUGAGUGGUUAAGGCCCCCGAGUAGACGAUCGGGUUGAUAGGCCGGAUGUGGAAGCCUGGUAACAGGUGGAGCUGACCGGUACUAAUAGGCCGAGGGCUUGCCCA
rnacentral:rRNA from 1 species